UAGAUACCCUGGUAGUCCGCGCAGUAAACGAUGAAUGUUAGUCGUCGGGAUGCAAGUCAUUUCGGUGAUGCAGUUAACACAUUAAACAUUCCGCCUGGGGAGUACGGUCGCAAGAUUAAAACUCAAAGGAAUAGACGGGGACCCGCACAAGUGGUGGAGCAUGUGGUUUAAUUCGAAGAUACGCGAAGAACCUUACCUAGCCUUGACAUUGAUAGAAUCUUCCAGAGAUGGAGGAGUGCCUUUCGGGGAACUUGAAAACGGGUGCUGCACGGCUGUCGUCAGCUCGUGUCGUGAGAUGUUGGGUUAAGUCCCGCAACGAGCGCAACCCUCGUCAUUAGUUACUAACAGUUCGGCUGAGGACUCUAAUGAGACUGCCUUCGUAAGGAGGAGGAAGGUGAGGACGACGUCAAGUCAUCAUGGCCCUUACGGCUAGGGCGACACACGUGCUACAAUGGUUAGGACAAUGAGAAGCGAUACCGCGAGGUGGAGCAAAUCUAUAAACCUAAUCUCAGUUCGGAUUGUAGUCUGCAACUCGACUACAUGAAGCUGGAAUCACUAGUAAUCGUAGAUCAGCCAUGCUACGGUGAAUACGUUCCCGGGUCUUGUACUCACCGCCCGUCACACCAUGGGAGUUGAUUUCACCCGAAGCGGGGAAGCUAAACUGGCUACCCUCCACGGUGGAAUUAGCGACUGGGGUGAAGUCGUAACAAGGUA
rnacentral:rRNA from 1 species